rnacentral:rRNA from 1 species
UUAGAGUUUGAUCCUGGCUCAGGAUGAACGCUAGCGGCAGGCUUAACACAUGCAAGUCGAGGGGCAGCGAGAUCAGUGCUUGCACUGAUUGUCGGCGACCGGCGCACGGGUGCGUAACGCGUAUGCAACCUACCCAUUACAGGGGGAUAACACUGAGAAAUCGGUACUAAUACCCCAUAACAUCCAGGGAGGCAUCUUCUUGGGUUGAAAACUCCGGUGGUAAUGGAUGGGCAUGCGUUGUAUUAGUUAGUUGGUGGGGUAACGGCUCACCAAGACAACGAUACAUAGGGGGACUGAGAGGUUAACCCCCCACAUUGGUACUGAGACACGGACCAAACUCCUACGGGAGGCAGCAGUGAGGAAUAUUGGUCAAUGGACGCAAGUCUGAACCAGCCAUGCCGCGUGCAGGAAGACGGCUCUAUGAGUUGUAAACUGCUUUUGUACGAGGGUAAACGCAGAUACGCGUAUCUGUCUGAAAGUAUCGUACGAAUAAGGAUCGGCUAACUCCGUGCCAGCAGCCGCGGUAAUACGGAGGAUUCAAGCGUUAUCCGGAUUUAUUGGGUUUAAAGGGUGCGUAGGCGGUCGGAUAAGUUAGAGGUGAAAUCCCGGGGCUCAACUUCGGAAUUGCCUCUGAUACUGUUCGGCUAGAGAGUAGUUGCGGUAGGCGGAAUGUAUGGUGUAGCGGUGAAAUGCUUAGAGAUCAUACAGAACACCGAUUGCGAAGGCAGCUUACCAAGCUACUUCUGACGUUGAGGCACGAAAGCGUGGGGAGCAAACAGGAUUAGAUACCCUGGUAGUCCACGCAGUAAACGAUGAUAACUCGUUGUCGGCGAUACAGUGUCGGUGACUAAGCGAAAGCGAUAAGUUAUCCACCUGGGGAGUACGUUCGCAAGAAUGAAACUCAAAGGAAUUGACGGGGGCCCGCACAAGCGGAGGAACAUGUGGUUUAAUUCGAUGAUACGCGAGGAACCUUACCCGGGCUUGAAAGUUAGUGACGGAUCUUGAAAGAGGUCUUCCCUUCGGGGCACGAAACUAGGUGCUGCAUGGUUGUCGUCAGCUCGUGCCGUGAGGUGUCGGGUUAAGUCCCAUAACGAGCGCAACCCCUACCGUUAGUUGCCAGCAGGUCAAGCUGGGCACUCUGACGGGACUGCCGGUGUAAGCCGAGAGGAAGGUGGGGAUGACGUCAAAUCAGCACGGCCCUUACGUCCGGGGCUACACACGUGUUACAAUGGUAGGUACAGAGGGCCGCUACCCCGUGAGGGGAUGCCAAUCUCGAAAGCCUAUCUCAGUUCGGAUCGGAGGCUGAAACCCGCCUCCGUGAAGUUGGAUUCGCUAGUAAUCGCGCAUCAGCCAUGGCGCGGUGAAUACGUUCCCGGGCCUUGCACACACCGCCCGUCAAG